AUACUUAAAUGGACAGGUCAAUGUGCUAUCCAUAAGGCCUAUCGCCUAGGUUGGCGACCUCCAUUGCACUUUGGGGGUGCCUGCCUAAGAUCGGCCCUAGUGGUAGAGUCUGCGUCAUAAUUUGUUCUAGAGGGGGUCUGUGUUCGCACGGCUCCUGC